CAACAGGGAUUGCCCUAGUAACGGCGAGUGAAGCGGCAACAGCUCAAAUUUGAAAUCUGGCUUCGGCCCCGAGUUGUAAUUUGCAGAGGAAGCUUUAGGCGCGGCACCUCCUGAGUCCCCUGGAACGGGGCGCCACAGAGGGUGAGAGCCCCGUAUAGUUGGAUGCCUAGCCUGUGUAAAGCUCCUUCGACGAGUCGAGUAGUUUGGGAAUGCUGCUCAAAAUGGGAGGUAAAUUUCUUCUAAAGCUAAAUACCGGCCAGAGACCGAUAGCGCACAAGUAGAGUGAUCGAAAGAUGAAAAGCACUUUGAAAAGAGGGUUAAAUAGCACGUGAAAUUGUUGAAAGGGAAGCGCUUGUGACCAGACUUGCGCCGGGCUGAUCAUCCGGUGUUCUCACCGGUGCACUCUGCCCGGCUCAGGCCAGCAUCGGUUCUCGCGGGGGGAUAAAGGCCCUGGGAACGUAGCUCCUCCGGGAGUGUUAUAGCCCGGGGCGCAAUGCCCUCGCGGGGACCGAGGUUCGCGCUCUGCAAGGAUGCUGGCGUAAUGGUCAUCAGCGACCCGUCUUGAAACACGGACCAAGGAGUCAAGGUUUUGCGCGAGUGUUUGGGUGUAAAACCCGCACGCGUAAUGAAAGUGAACGUAGGUGAGAGCUUCGGCGCAUCAUCGACCGAUCCUGAUGUUCUCGGAUGGAUUUGAGUAGGAGCGUUAAGCCUUGGACCCGAAAGAUGGUGAACUAUGCUUGGAUAGGGUGAAGCCAGAGGAAACUCUGGUGGAGGCUCGCAGCGGUUCUGACGUGCAAAUCGAUCGUCAAAUCUGAGCAUGGGGGCGAAAGACUAAUCGAACCAUCUAGUAGCUGGUA
rnacentral:rRNA from 1 species